rnacentral:rRNA from 1 species
UACGGAGGGUGCAAGCGUUAUCCGGAUUCACUGGGUUUAAAGGGUGCGUAGGUGGGCAGGUAAGUCAGUGGUGAAAUCUCCGGGCUUAACUCGGAAACUGCCAUUGAUACUAUCUUUCUUGAAUACCGUGGAGGUCAGCGGAAUAUGUCAUGUAGCGGUGAAAAUGCUUAGAUAUGACAUAGAACAACCAAUUGCGAAAGGCGCUGGCUACACGAAUAUUGACACUGAUGCACGAAAGCGUGGGGAUCAAACAGG